UAUACCUAUUAAACAAUUCAUGGUACAAAAUUUGGCCAAUAUAUUAAUAAUAUAGUCAUUUUUCUUUUGUGGUAUUUCUUUAAAACAUCUGAUUCUGUAUUUACCCAUUUCUUCAUUAAGUAUUAUUACAGUUUCAGAUGGCAUUUUUCAGACAGAAGUUUGUGUUGGGAUGAUGGCGAUCUCUUCUAUCAGUAAGAGAAUGAGAAGUGACCAGCGAUCAGGUUCGAGUGUUCCAGCAAUCUGUGUUCUAGUGAUCCAAGGUAAAACAAUAUAUAUAACAUAGGAAGUUGGCAAAGACUGGGCAAUGGGGUCAAGGCAAGGGAGGUAUUCAAGCUAUCCAAGGACAAGCUAACAAAGUUCAACUGUAAAUAUGUAAUUUAGUUAUUUCAUGAAGGAAAGCUGACUGGUACCAAAAUUGCCCAUUUGAAAGCAAAGUACACAGAGUUUUUACAUGAAAUACUUAAAAAUUUCCGUUCCAUUUGGCCAACAGUGUUAAAACUUCAUGGGAUGAUUGUGCAUAUCGGGUAGAAGACCCCUAUUGAUUUUGGGAUCACAAGAUCAAAGGUCAAGGUUACUAUUACCUUUAAACUGAAAAACAGUUUCCAGAGCAUAACUUAAGUUCCAUUUGGCCCACAAUAUUCAAACUUCCUUGGAGGAUUGUUAUUUGAAGGAGGUAAUACUUUAUUUAAUUCCAAUGUCUUACAAAUGCUUCAUCUUUACUGAAAAAGAAAAUCACUUCCGGGCAUAUAAUGUUCCGCCUAACGGUGCUCUUGUUUUCUUUGUGUUAUUGCCUUUUUUUUAACAUUUAUUUGUUAGCAUCCAUAAUCAUUUCUAAUUUUCUCUCACAUGUAUUUGUAAUUCUUUAUUGUUGUUUUGUUAUUUUGACUCCUUUAAAAUGUAAUAAUUUUGAUAUAUUAUAACUCUACAGAGGAGAAGAAAUUAAUAAAAGAGAGUACUCUAGAAUGCCAAAAGCUGGUAAGACGUUUAAUCAUUGGCUCCAAGCAAAUACUCAUUUGAUAUGUGACAAUAUGAAGUAAUACAAUUUUACAACACAUUUGUAUAGUUUUCAGGAAUUCUGCCUGUGCAAAUGUGUCUUAAAGCAAAAUUAUUUGAUAAUAUAUUUGAAAUAGUAAUAUUUUUUUUUAGCUUGUCUAUUGAAUAACUUAACUUGAGCAAUUGUGCUCACCCAGGUGCCUGCAUCUAUCUUGUCGUGGCUGUCACACUUAGGUUAAAUUUUUAUGUGCAAGUUGGUAUCUUCAAAACAAUUGAAGGGUUGUUGUUUUUGUAAAAAAAUUCCAUCUAAGUAAUUAUAUUCUAUUAAAUAGUAUUCCAAAUUGAAAUUUAAAGAAGACAGGUCCGUUGUAUAAAUUUAGCAGUUUGUACUUUGGUAAUUUUUUAGUAAUAUAAUGUUUGUGGUAUUUCAGGAAAUCGAGAAGAAAAUCAAAGAGUUACAACAAGCAUGUGAUGAUAUAAAGAAAGAAAUUGUUCAGAGACAGCUAGAGGUUAAAACAUUGAAAGAUGAUGUAGAUACAUUUAAUAGACAAGUCAGCAUGGAUAGUAAAGAAUAUGAAAAACUCACUGAAAAAAUGGAAAAUCUUCAGGGUGAUUUGGUACAAAAUUCUGGAAACAAAGUGAUCCCUCGGAAGCAUUAAUAACAACAAAAUAACAUAAGAAUUGCAGACUCGGUUUGAUUGAGUCUAUACAUGAGGGAUAAUGAAUAAGUGCAACAUCCCUCACGCCCCCUAGCACCGGCUUGAGCGGUACUCAAUUCUCAACACUUUAUAGUGUUGGCAUCAAUGAUCCCGAAGGACCAGAAAAUAUAACAACACUGAAGUGUGUACAAGUUAACACUGUUCCAAACUAGAAUGCAAAAGAAGCUGAUAAACUGGGAAGAAA